GGAGUGGGCUGCAUUAUUGCGGCUUAAGGUACGUGCUAAACCCUUGGGAAACCAAGCUCGUAGGAUUAGACCCGAUAUGUCGAAGUCUGCGAGGGCCGAGAGGCUGGAUCCGGAGCCCGAUUGGUGCUCCGGAAGUGCUGUGAUGCCCUUAGAUGUUCUGGGCUGCACG
rnacentral:rRNA from 1 species